AUUGCCAGCACGUAAUGGUGGGAACUCAUGGGAUACUGCCGGGGUCAACUCGGAGGAAGGUGGGGAUGACGUCAAAUCAUCAUGCCCCUUAUGUCUUGGGCUUCACGCAUGCUACAAUGGCCGGUACAAAGGGCUGCAAUACCGUGAGGUGGAGCGAAUCCCAAAAAGCCGGUCCCAGUUCGGAUUGAGGUCUGCAACUCGACCUCAUGAAGUCGGAGUCGCUAGUAAUCGCAGACCAGCAACGCUGCGGUGAAUACGUUCCCGGGUCUUGUACACACCG
rnacentral:rRNA from 1 species